AGCACUGUAGGUGUCAGCCGCCGCGGUAAUACGAAGGGGGCUAGCGUUGUUCGGAAUUACUGGGCGUAAAGCGCACGUAGGCGGAUAUUUAAGUCAGGGGUGAAAUCCCAGAGCUCAACUCUGGAACUGCCUUUGAUACUGGGUAUCUUGAGUAUGGAAGAGGUAAGUGGAAUUGCGAGUGUAGAGGUGAAAUUCGUAGAUAUUCGCAGGAACACCAGUGGCGAAGGCGGCUUACUGGUCCAUUACUGACGCUGAGGUGCGAAAGCAUGGGGAGCGAACGGGAUUAGAUACCCUGGUAGUCCAUGCCGUAAACGAUGAGUGUUCGCCCUUGGUCUAUUCUGAUCUGGGGCUCAGCUAACGCGUUAAACACUCCGCCUGGGGAGUACGGUCGCAAGACCGAAACUUAAAUGAAUUGGCGGG
rnacentral:rRNA from 1 species